rnacentral:misc_RNA from 1 species
AAGUCGUAACAAGGUCUCCGUAGGUGAACCUGCGGAAGGAUCAUUCACACAAUUUGUAGGAUAAUUACACGAUAAGGAUAGUAUAUGUAGUGUGGUCAUAUAUGGGGCAUUAAACAAUAACACGUGAGAUGUUCUAUGUGUGAUUAUAUUAUAUGUGCUGUUCAUGUCCCUAUCUAUCUAAUAUCUAUCUAUUUACCACCGACACACCCCUUGACUGCCUGUUUCGUGCACAACGGCUAUUGAUGUGGUAAAACACAACGAAGGUCGCCUUACACCUUUCUUCAUUGCAUGAGCAGCGGCAACUGUAAGUGUAAUGAUGUCAUUAGUCUGAGCCCUUCUAGGGUGGAAAUGUAGUAAUACGUAUAAUAACAUACAACUCUUUGCAAUGGAUAUCUUGGUUCUC